rnacentral:rRNA from 1 species
AUGGUGCAAGAAUUUCCAGCAUGGGAGCACUCACACACAAAAGAUAUAACCUUCAUCCCUCCCAUCGCCCUCGUCUGCAGUUAUGAUCAUUGCGCCACUGAACAACCCUGGUGGUUGAAGACGGUGCUGGGAUUGCUCAUGGUGCCUCCCUUUCGUGGCAUGGUCCAUGCUGGCAGGGGACUCCCCGAGAAGGGUGGCAGCAGGCUUUCUGCCAUCACUGAAAUAUGCAUGCGUCACGUCCCUCUUGGGGGCGUCGUUGUGGUCUCAUUCCACCGUGCUAGGGCUAUGCUGGGAUCGUGA